rnacentral:rRNA from 2 species
UGAAGAACGCAGCGAAAUGCGAUACCUAGUGUGAAUUGCAGAAUUCCGCGAAUCAUCGAGUUUUUGAACGCAAGUUGCGCCCGAGGCUCGUACCGAGGGCAUGUCUGUUUGAGCGUCCA